GAGAAAUGGAGGGAAAGAAAAGAAAGAUGAAAAUAAAUUUUCUUUUGGCGGUUUUAAUCAAGUCAAAGUAGCUGUCUUAGAUUCAAUUGAAUGGAUUUUCAAAUAAACUCCCUUCGUUAUGCAUCAGCAUUGAAUUUAGUUAACAAUGUAGAAUUUGCUGAUUGUGGUGAUUAUUAUAUGUCUGCUUGAGGAGGAGAAAAAUGAAAAUGUGCAAGGUUGUAUUGCAUUCCUGUCCAAAUGAAAAGCUUAGCUCUAGUGGGCUAGUUGUUGCAUUAGUCUAAUCCACCCUCCUUUUCUGGUGCGGUGUAUAAAUCUACUACUUGGUAAUUGUCAUUGCUGUGUGGAAUUCGGUGUAUGUUCAAAUAUUUGUUAGUUUGUUGCAUUCGCUGAUUGAAUUAGUCAGUCUUGGUGGGUUUAUUUGAAAAUUUCAUUUCUUGUUGGUAGUUGAGGACUCUUAAAUUGACUUGUUAGCUCU
rnacentral:misc_RNA from 1 species